rnacentral:rRNA from 1 species
CCUACGGGAGGCAGCAGUGAGGAAUAUUGGUCAAUGGACGAGAGUCUGAACCAGCCAAGUAGCGUGAAGGAUGACUGCCCUAUGGGUUGUAAACUUCUUUUAUAUGGGAAUAAAAUGUUCCACGUGUGGGAUUUUGUAUGUACCAUAUGAAUAAGGAUCGGCUAACUCCGUGCCAGCAGCCGCGGUAAUACGGAGGAUCCGAGCGUUAUCCGGAUUUAUUGGGUUUAAAGGGAACGUAGGUGGGUUGUUAAGUCAGUUGUGAAAGUUUGUGGCUCAACCGUAAAAUUGCAGUUGAAACUGGCAGUCUUGAGUACAGUAGAGGUGGGCGGAAUUCGUGGGGUAGCGGUGAAAUGCUUAGAUAUCACGAAGAACUCCGAUUGCGAAGGCAGUUCACUGGACUGCAACUGACACUGAGGCUCGAAAGUGUGGGUAUCAAACAGGAUUAGAUACCCCAGUAGUC